rnacentral:rRNA from 1 species
UGAAAACAUGAAAAUAUUACCUACCACUCCAUAGCUCCAAAAAUAAGUGAAAAUAAUACCAAAACAAAUGUUAAAAUAAUACCAAAAAUUGAUAUAAAAAUCGUUUCAGAUCUCAACCUGAAGGAGCUAUUUCAAAUACUGUGAUGCCGUCGUCUUCCCCGUUCUCCUCGCCGCCGGCUAAUUGAAGGAAGUCUUCAUCUCGAAUACAAAUCCACUGUUGCAGAGAGGG